rnacentral:tRNA from 1 species
GUAAAUAUAGUUUAAAAAAAACAUUAGAUUGUGAAUCUAAUAAUAGAAGCUUAUCCCCUUCUUAUUUACC